rnacentral:rRNA from 1 species
AUUGAACGCUGGCGGCAGGCCUAACACAUGCAAGUCGAGCGGAUGAAGGGAGCUUGCUCCUGGAUUCAGCGGCGGACGGGUGAGUAAUGCCUAGGAAUCUGCCUGGUAGUGGGGGAUAACGUCCGGAAACGGGCGCUAAUACCGCAUACGUCCUGAGGGAGAAAGUGGGGGAUCUUCGGACCUCACGCUAUCAGAUGAGCCUAGGUCGGAUUAGCUAGUUGGUGGGGUAAAGGCUUACCAAGGCGACGAUCCGUAACUGGUCUGAGAGGAUGAUCAGUCACACUGGAACUGAGACACGGUCCAGACUCCUACGGGAGGCAGCAGUGGGGAAUAUUGGACAAUGGGCGAAAGCCUGACGCAGCAAUGCCGCGUGUGUGAAGAAGGUCUUCGGAUCGUAAAGCACUGUUAGUAGGGAGGAAGGAAAGUAAGAGAAUACCUUGCUGUCUUGACGUUACCAACACAGUAAGCCACGGCUAACUACGUG